AGCGAACGCUGGCGGCAGGCUUAACACAUGCAAGUCGAGCGGGCAUCCUUGUGGUGUCAGCGGCAGACGGGUGAGUAACGCGUGGGAACGUGCCCUUCGGUUCGGAAUAACUCAGGGAGACUUGAGCUAAUACCGGAUACGCCCUUUUGGGGAAAGGCUUGACUGCCGAAGGAUCGGCCCGCGUCUGAGUAGCUGGUUGGUGAGGUUACGGCUCACCAAGGCGACGAUCAGUAGCUGGUCUGAGAGGAUGAUCAGCCACACUGGGACUGAGACACGGCCCAGACUCCUACGGGAGGCAGCAGUGGGGAAUAUUGGACAAUGGGGGCAACCCUGAUCCAGCCAUGCCGCGUGAGUGAUGACGGCCUUAGGGUUGUAAAGCUCUUUUCUCCGGGACGAUAAUGACGGUACCGGAGGAAUAAGCCCCGGCUAACUUCGUGCCAGCAGCCGCAGUAAAAC
rnacentral:rRNA from 1 species